CCCAGCAGCUAGGGGAUCUAUCUUCCCCAUUCAUUUCACGUGCACCUUCCAAACCACAGAGCUAGGGUUUUCUCAAGAGGAAGAGAACCAUGGAGGUUUCGUGUCCCCAACUCAUACUCGCCGCCGUCAGCGGCUCCAACCACAAGGACCGACCACCACGAGGUGUUGUCGACGGUGACGCCAGCGUCUUCGCCGGAAGAAGCACCGCUGGUUGCGUCAGACCACCGUCUUGCCUCUUCUUCUUCGCGCGAAACCGGCCCCAAAUCCGAGAUCUCGCCGUUCUCGCCAUCGCCGGCGAGAUCCACGACCGUAAGCCGCGAGCCAAGGCCGCGCCGGUGUCGCUGUCCGCUACCGAAGUUGUCGCCGACCGUCGGGUCUUCUAUGCCUCCUCUCUCCUUCGCGCGCGAGCUCUUUCCUUCCUCCGUAGAGCAACGACAACUCGCACAGGAACACCACUACCGCCAUGAAUAACAGCCAAAGUUGCCACCGUUCGUCCAAUCACUACGUCUCGGGCCAUGAACAAAACCAACCACCGUUGUCCUCGUCGGGAUUCGCCUACACGUCAGCGUCGCCGGCACCACUCUCCUUCGAGAGUCUUUUUCCUCCGAUGCCAAACAUUUCCAGCAACGUCAUCGCCGGCGUCAAGGACGAAAGCACUUUCCUUCUCUUUCUCUCAUUCCUUUUUUUUUUGUCUUUUGUUGAUUAGUUUGGUGUUGAUUACUUCUUCUCCUCUAUGAAUGUAUGUUGUGUGCAUAUGAGUGCGAGUGAGGGUAUGGAAGUGAUGGUUAGUGACUAUUUUGAGUUAGUCAGAUCGAUGGUGUGGCAUAAAAACAUUGAGAGAGGGGUUAACCUGAUAUGGUUUUGUGUUACAGGCCAAAGGUUUCUGCGCUUGUUGUUUUGUUGAAGUUUUGGAAAUUGAGGACAUUGAGUAUGGAGUUCGAAGUGUUAAUUUGCCUUGAGUAUUCUGGAUGCAGCAUUUGUUUCGAAGACAAGCUUCGAACCCAUUGGCAGGUGAAGGAUGGCCUCACGAUUGAGGGUGGCUGCAGUGCAUACUGCUGCCUAGAUGGAGGGGAAGCUGUCGAUUGCUAGAUGAGCAAAAACUACUUCUAUUCUUUUUGUCUUUUGCAUAAGAGCUGACACGAAAAUGCAUUGAAAAUGCAGUUUGAUAAAAAGAUGAAACCACAAUCAAGACAACCACCACUAUACAUCAUAAUGAAACACCAUUCGUCUAUCUCCAAGCAUGCAUAAGGAAAGCAUACAGGUAAGCAAGUCUGAAGAGCUUAUGUAUGAGUGUAUGAGGACUUACCUACGCAGCUUCAAGACUCUUCUGCAGCUUCAGGACUUGCAGCCUCAAGAAUCCUUUUUAGCUUCCAGACUUGCAGCCUCAAGACUCCUCCGCGGCUUUUAGACCUUCCUUUUGAUUCUCUUUUCCAGUGUUCUCUUGCUGUGUUCUCUUGCUUGCUGUAUGAAAAAAUGUUCCCCCCUUUGAAUGACUGUGAUCCCCUCAUUUUGAAAACCACCAAGCUCCUUUUCUGCUGCACUGCUUCUUGGGAGCUCUGGCAUAUCCUCUGGCGUAGGAUUUUCUUUUUGUUUUUUUUCUUUUUUCAUGUUUCCAUUUUGCAGUCGGCAUAUGCUUGUUCAAGAUUCUUUCCCCUUCAAUGUAUGGCUGCUGUUGUUGCUUAAGAAUUUUCAGCAAGAAAGAAAAUACAUUUUUCACACUGCAACUGUUGCUUCAA